rnacentral:rRNA from 1 species
GCACGUUUGGUGUGGGAGGAUUCGACCCCUUCUGCGCNGGAGNUAACGCGUUAAACGUGCCGCCUGGGGAGUACGGUCGCCAAGAUUAAAACUCAAAGAAAUUGACGGGGGCCNGCACAAGCGGUGGAGUAUGUGGCUUAAUUCGAUGCAACGCGAAGAACCUUACCUGGCCUUGACAUGCAUCUCUAAACCGGUGAAAGCCGGCGAGUCUCGAGAGAGACAAUUUGCACAGGUGCUGCAUGGCUGUCGUCAGCUCGUGUCGUGAGAUGUUGGGUUAAGUCCCGCAACGAGCGCAACCCCCUGUGAACUGUUGCCACCGGCCUUAAAAGCCGAGCACUCUGUUCAGACUGCCCCUGUGAAACGGGGAGGAAGGUGGGGACGACGUCAAGUCAGUAUGGCCCUUACGGCCCAGGGCUGCACACGUACUACAAUGCCCAGUACAGAACGAUCCGAGACCGCCAAGGUGGAGGAAAUCUAGUAAAACUGGGCCCAGUUCGGAUUGGAGUCUGCAACUCGACUCCAUGAAGCCGGAAUCGCUAGUAAUGGCGCAUCAGCUACGGCGCCGUGAAUACGUUCCCGGGCCUUGUACACACCGCCCGUCACAUCAUGGAAGUUACUUGUAGCCGAAGCCGGCGCGCCAACCCGCAAGGGAAGCAGCCGCCUACGCUAUGANUGGUAACUGGGAUGAAGUCGUAACCAAGGUACC